rnacentral:lncRNA from 10 species
CUGAGCCCUGGGCUCUGGACGGCACCACACAGGCCUGCAUGCUGGCGAGGCUGGUGCAGAGAGGUGAGUCAUCCAUUCUUCAUGGCACAGCUGUCGCCUUCCUGAAACUCACAUUAGACACGCGCUCAUAGAAUCAAAUGUACCACAUGCAGCCAUUACAGACGGGCACACCAACCCCAGACUGCUGUUGCCAGAAAGAAGCACCUGCCUUGCCUCCUUCCCUCCUUUGCCUGUCCAAAGGUGAAUGAUAUGAGUCGGGCAGUGUGCAUGUCUUCCCAGAAGAAAAAAUGAGGCUCAGAUGUGACUCGGUGUCCCCGGUGAGUGGGUGCAUCAUAAAUGUCAGACAUUGACUGCACCGAAAAGCCUUCUUGGGCUGUCUUCACCGUCUUGUUCUUGGCUUUGGACUCCUGAGCUGCACAAUAAGGAUGUGCAUGGUGCUGCUGACCGUAUGCUCCCCCGACAGUUCCAGGAAGGUGCAGAGUGCUGACAGCCACGCCCUGGAGCUUGCGCUUGCCAGUGCUUAGUGAGUAAGGAAUUGUGAGACUUGUACAGCUCUGACAGCUUCUUAGGGAUCACAUAGCUCAGUAGGUGAGCCCAGCAGUUUCUGGGUGGGGGAGGGCGCUGAGUGAGCCAGCAGUGGAGAGGGGCUGGACAAGAUCCGCUGAUCACAGAAGAGGAGAGGGAGGUUCUGAGUGACCCACAGCACACUCCACACCCUUGGAAGAUGGAGAACCCUUCCUAGCCCCCCACUGAGUCCUGGAGGCAGCCAGUAGAAUGUUCUGGGUCUGAGACCCAAGUCAUUUUUCACCCUGAUCCUGCCCUCUCCUUGGUAGCUCUCAGAACUGACUCCUGAGGGAAGGCAAGUGUUUGAAUUGACUUUCUCCAAGGUUCUCACUCUUAGGAAGAUGCAGGUGGAGUUAUCUGUGAUUCUCCCUGUAGGUCAGGUGAGUCCUCAAACUGCUUCCCUCAUGGUGAUAAAGUGGCUGCCAACACCUUCCAGGCCACAUGUGUCUUCGUUCAUAUCUAGGAGGGAGAUGGCUUCACAUCCCCCAGACAUAGAACAAAGCCCCCAAAGAAGAGGACUUGCUGGUUUUCCAUUCUUUGCUUUCCUAGUUCCUUAAGUCCUGGAGGUAGUGGGUUAGAGUCAGAAUGGACAAGUAAUUCGUUGUCCAGAUCAGGCCCUUUCCAGAGUGAUGGGAUGGGUGGUGCAUGUGAUAAUGGUGCUGGGAUGGCAGAGGGAGCCGGUCACCUUGGCCCUUGUGGGGGACCCAGGAGAGCUGAGUGGAGGUCCAGCUCUGCCACUGGACUUCUGGGGCUCAGUUUCCUCCUCUGUCAAAUGGUGUCAUUUGAUUGUGAUACUUUUUGUCUCUAGUUUCCUAAUGAAUGCCAGCUGCUUGACAGAAUGCAUCUCAUUUUGAAGGGAAAUGUCCACUGCAUUUGUUUUAAAAUAUCUCCUGGAAAAGGGAGACCUUCUUAGCAGAAUUUACCAUUUAAGGAGCCAAGUGGUAUUGCCAGCAGCAGGCACUGGUGACAUCUGCCCGCACGGCUGGCCGGGGUUUGAGAGUGAAGCAUGGGAAUCCUGUCUCCUCUGCCCCUGCUGCCUUGAGCAGAGAAGGAAUUUCUCAGGCUCUCGUUCCCAGAAAUCAUCCCAGUUACGACUCGAAUGCAACCUCCCCCUCCCUGCCCACCCUAUCGGGCAAAACAAACCUAACAAAACUGCAAAUGAUCUAAGACCAAAAUAGAUCUUUCUGAAUUUUAACCUUGAGGGCAUGGUGGUUCAUUGAACCCAGCUGCCAAUUCGUCUUCCCAGCAUGCGUGGCCUUUCGGUUUCACCCUCUUCUGUGCCCGUGACUGACAUGUCCCCUUUGUCCUAAUGCUGCCAGCCCUUCCUCCUUGCAGUGUCUCUGGGAUGCCUUCCCCUUCCUUGACCUCCAUGGGGCCUUCCUCAGCUGAUCACUCACUGUUCCUGCCUCCCAGCCGAUGGCUCUGAUUCUCAAUGGCUUCUGCAUAGUGAAUGCUGUCAGGCAAUCUUCCUGGAUAUCUCCUUCACGACGUUGCUCCUUCUGCCUGAGAAUCUGUAACGAGCACGGAAGGUCUCUGGAUGUUGUGGGGACAUGCUGGGUUGUUCUGAUGGGCCUUUUGGGGGCUCCUGUCCGGUGCCCCGGGAAUGUCUGUGUGGGAGGACUUGGUGUGGCAAUCUGGUUGGAAGGGAGGGGUUACUGUUGUAGAAAGCACACCAUCUUUACCUCCUGCGUCGUCAUAAAGCCAUGAAAAGAGUAAAAGUUUCUAAAGGUGAUUUUAUUAGAGUGCUUCACAGUCCAGCUACAGAACAUCCACAUCCAACGACUGUCAACAAGGGCUUUGUCAGCUCCCACAGCUAAAACACACCAAGGAAGUUCAGGCAUCUGGGUUGAUUUUCUCCAAAGCUCUUGAUCCUAUGAGGCUGCAGGUCGAGUUAUCUGUGAUGCUCCCUGUGGGUCAGGUUAAUUCUCAGCCUGCUUCCCUCAUGGUGAUAAAGUGGCUGCCAGCACCUCCUGGACCAUGAGCAUCCUUGUUCACAUGCAGGAGGAGGGAGACAUCUGCCCUCACGGCAGGCCGGGGUUUGAGAGUGAACCUUCCCCUAAACAUAGAGCAAAGCCCCAAGUUUCCCUCUGAAAGGAUUCAUUUAGGUUUUUCGUCCAUCCUCGAAACCACAUCUACAAUAAGAGAAGUCACUGCAGGUGCCCGGGGUGCCCUCCUGGAGCCUUGGGGGUGUGAGCACCUACCCCACAGGCCAUUGCUGAGUGACCGUGGGUUGGUGGGGGAGCCCUGUGUCACCACAGCGUAAGAUGGAGAAACCACAUCACAGGGGAGCAACGCUAAGGGAUGGCCUGACCGAGAGGCCUUUCUAGGAAAAAAUCCUGCAAUGAAGCUUGUGGAGAUCCUUGAAGAUGAGACCAGUGGAGCCUGGUCUAACCCCAAGGCGAGUGGGGAGGCCCGGGCAGGGAGUGCGUGGGGGCUGCACUUGCUGUUUUCCACGCAGCACCAAGGAUGGCUUCCCUCCCAGGAUCCUGCCCUGGCUAAUGACAUUGAACCUGCAUCAUGCAUCUGCACCGCCUCCCGGAGUCCGAGGACCGUGCUGCACAGCCUCCUUCUGGGACUGAAGUUGGAGGAGUGAGAAGGGAGGGUUCCCUCCUCCUUCUGAAGUCUGAGGACAGGCUCCUUCUGACUGAGGAAAGGAAACAUCAUUAUUGCUUAUGAGAGGAUGGGAAGGGAACCACCCCCCACAGAAGGCAAACCAGUCUUGGCGUCUCCAGGAAGCUCGGCAUCUGGAGAGUGGUUGGCUACGCUGGUGUCUCCUCUCUCUCUCACUUUUCCUCGACUGUACUUACAGAAAAGUGUGCAUGCCGUGAGUGUUCAGCCAGUUGAAGUUUUAUAAGCGGAGCCCACUCUGAAGCCAUGCCCCGCCGGCAUCCCAGACCCUAUCCGCGCCCCUGCCCCGGGCGGCCGCCAUCCGGUUCCCAGAAGCAAGGCUGGCUCUGCCUGUCCUUGGACUUCAUACACUGGCAGCAAACAGCGUGUGCCCUUUUGUUUCUGGCUCUUUUGCUCAGUGGUGUUUGUCCCACCUCUUUGGAGGGAUCUAAAACCCAAGCAGGGUUACCAGUGUGUGGGUCCCACAGGCAGCUUCCCAGUAGGAUGUCAGGAAAAGAAAGGUGAUGAGCUCAGAGGCAACUUAAGCCCAAAGCCAGAGAGACCAAUGUUGUCUCCAGAGCUGGUCCCCACAAUGUGGUGCAGAGCUCUGACCACUUGUCCCCAGCAUGCAGGCUGCGCAAGGCUGGGGGAAGUCCUCCUGUCCUGGUGGCCCCAGAAGCCAAUGGAAGAGGCGUGACUUCUCAGGGCCCCCAGCACUCUGUCACAUUCACACACGCUUUCCUGGUGCUAGGAACUGAGUGUUUGUGUCUCCCCCAGAUUCCCACGUUGAAAUCCUCACCCGCGUGAAGAUGGUGUUAGGAGGUCAGACCUUUGGAAGGUGAUGAGGUCAUGAGGGUGGAGCCCCAACGAAUGGGAUUAGUGCCCUCAUGAAAGAGACACAAGAGAGAUGAUCUCUUUCCUCCGAUUGAGGACACAGCAGGAAGCCUGCCCGUCUGCAACCAAGAAGCCAGCCUGCAGCAGAAUCUGACGGUGCAGGCGCCCGGAUCUCAGAACUGCCAGCCUGCAGAACUCAGAGGAGAGACAUGUCUGUUGUUUGUAGGUCACCCAGUCAGCGGUUCUUUUUAUAGCAGCCUGAACUGACUAAGACACUUGGGAAGGAUGCUUGCAGAUGUUAGGACUACGCCCACAUGCUAAGAGCACCUGGGAAGGUGAUGGGAUUCCUGUGGGCUCCUUAUCAGGUGGACUCAGGAAGGUGGUGGACUUCCUGUGGGCCCCUCUUCAGAUGUGCCUGGGAGGGUAAUGGACUUCCUGUGGUCCCCUCAUCAAGUGGGCCUGGGAGGGUGAUGGACUUCCUGUGGUCCCCUCAUCAAGUGGGCCUGGGAGGGUGAUGGACUUCCUGUGGACCCCUCAUCAGACGGGCUACUUGCCCACCCCGUGUCUGCAUUGAGGCUGCAGCAGGAAUAGCACAUUGGAGCUUAAAGCAGAGUGCUGAUGUGUGCACCGCAUUCUUCCAGGGCGGCUGUGGUGUUGAAAGCUCAUUUGGCCAGGGUUGAAUUAGCAGAGUGCAUUGAGAAAUGGAACUCAAGCCCAGUGUGAUCUUCUGGGAAAAGCUGACACCAGAAAACAAAAGAGAGCAAGAGAGAAGACAGUGGGUGAAGUCCUGGUUCCAGACUCCCCUUUUUGCCGGGAUAUGAUGGAUCUGUCAGCUGGUGCCUAGAGUCCUAGAGAGCUAGAGAUGGAGGGAAAUUCAGAUCAUCUAAACCCUUCAGCCCUUCACUGGACAGAAGAGGAAACUGAGGCUCCAUCUGCAUGACGUUCCCAGAGUCACGGCACAAAUUCAUGGAAGAAGCAGCAGGAAACUCAGUUCUCCAGUCUGGGUCCAAUGUGUGUUUUAGAAAUAUCUCCACAGGGUUAAUGACUCAAUUUUUCAUGCAUGAUUGCUAGUAAUGACAAUCAUGUUAUGUUUGUUUCUGUAGCUUUGGAAAUCACUCCUUCCACUUGAGUUUCAGGUCCCAACUGUCCACACCUGCAGGAGUGAGGUUUUGCUGAGACUGAUAAGGCACUCACAUUUUGUGGGAGUUGAAUUGUCUCUGUAGCCUAGAAUCUAGAUUUUUUUCCCUCCUCUGCUCUCAGUGAACGGAGAAUUCCAUCUCGGUACAAUCUGUGAACCAUUCUGCAGUAAGAUUGUCAUCGUCUCAUUCAUACUACCUGGUCGGUAACACAAAGGGCUGUAAUUGAUGUGGUUCAGAGACUCACAUCCAAGCAAUAAAAAUGAAUCCCUUAUGGUGGUCUGCAGCAACGCAAAUGGAUCCAGUGUCUGGCUUUAAUGGGAGUGGGGAAAUUGCUAACAGAUGACGGUAACUUUC